UUGUUUUUAUUUAUGCAUUGAUGUCAAGUUGAAAGAUUUACUUUAAAUUGUUACCAGUUAAUUUGAUUCCAUUUUUUAUGUUAUUCAUUUCUUAGUGUAUUUAAUAGCUUUAAUUGUUACUCUCAACUAUGCCAUUAGUUGCUUAUGACACAAGUGAUGAUGAAGAUUCACCAGGAGAUGAAAAGAUUGAGUCGCCAGUAAAAUCUGUUGUUUCUGUUACUGGAAAAGUUGAUUAUCCAGCUAAUAGUCAAUCGGUUGAUGGUAAAUUAUUAGCGAAUAACAAUUCUGUUGGUAUAGUAAAUGGCUGUUCUAUUCCUGAUGAUGAUGAUUAUGAUGAUGAUGAUGAUGAUGAUGGUGACAUUGGUUAUUCUGUUGGUACAAAAGGAAAUGAUUUGGUAGAUGAUCUUGAAUCUUCUAGUAAAUUAUUGGGAAAAUUACCUGGUAUUGGAAAGAAAUUACCUGCACCUUCAACUCUUUCAACUGGUUUGAGUGAUAUUGUGGUGGUUGAUAAAAAAUCUAAACGAAUUAAGGUGGUUAUUCCUUCAAUCGAUGAAUUGGAUUAUGCUUCGGAAGAAGAGGAAGAGGAAGUUGGUCCAAAGAGGAAAAUAAUUCCAGCAGGAGGAUGUUCCUUGUCCUCUUUUCUACCUAAACCCAAAAAUGCUCCUCCAAGAUACAAUUGCAAUAAUUUAUUCUCUACACCUUUAGCCGAUAAUUCAUCACCUUCACCCUCAUCAUCUUCUUUCAAUUCAUCUGUAAAAUCAGUUGCCUCUCUAGUUCCACACUCAGUUUCACGGCCGAAGACCAAAAUACCACCAAAACGACCUCAAAAUGUACCCAUCAAAUCAGAUGAAGAUAUUGAAGACUCAGGUUCUGUUGAUUUCUUUUCACUUGGUGAUGUUUCCCAAUCAAUCUCACAAAAUGAUAACCAUUUGGACACCAAUAUAAACAAAAUAAUACCAAUUGUAGUACCCAAACCUGAGACAGAAUCUUCAUUCAAUGAAAUGAUGAUGAACAAAUUAGCAAAUGAGACUAGUACUUCAAGUUAUUACGCUUAUCCACAAGCUCAAGCUACCACCUCAUCCAAGAAAUAUCAUCCAUCAACAGCUGAUAUUAAUGAUCCUGAUUACAAGAAAUUUGUUGCUUCCAAAUUUGGUGAAGAAACAGCUGAUAAAAUCAACAUUGUUGAAGUAAAUGUUGGCAAUUAUUUAGCCAAUGAUACGGAAUUACUCAGAUCAAUUAGCAUGGAAAGUGGAUCAACAUCGGUAAAAGGACCAGCACCAAGUCCACUAGCUAAGCGAAAAAAUCAAAUCACUUACCUUGCCUAUCAAGCUAAACAACGGGAAUUGGACCUUAAAAACGAAGCAGCAAACAAUAGAUUCACUAAAUCUCAGACAAGAGCCAAAUAUGGUUUCUAAAUUGUUACAAAAUUAAAAUUCCACCAACAAUCAAACAAAUGACCUUGAAUGUUGAACGCAGUUUGACCUUUAAAUUGACCUAAGCCACUGGAAUUGGAGGUGUUAACAUCGGAAAUUAUCGAGAAUUUGAGGAUUAACCUGAUCCGAUUGGAAUAAUUCUGUUGCUUUGUACAUCGUCUUCCAAUUUGGUUGAUUUGAGAAUUGAUCUUCCGUCAAAUUAAAAUAUUGUGUCUCAUAAUCAAGGAUCACUCCUUGUUCAUCCAUUUGGUAAAUUCUGUAACCUGGAUUAGUCUGAGAAUAAGAUGUUAAUGAUGGAGCAAUAAAAGCAAAUCCAAUUGGAA